GGAUUACAGGCAUGAGCCAACGCGCCCGGCCCUGUGCUCGGCCACUUUCUAUCUGUGGCUUUGUCCUCUGGACUCUCUUCUGGGCCCACGUGGCUCGGAGUGGGUGGCUGGCAAGGCCAGUAGGCCUCUGGCAGCACUGAUGGCCCUGCUCACUCAUCACUGCCUGAGUGUUGAGGAGGCUGUGUGUUUAAGCCCCUGACAGGGACCACAUGGGUAGGACAGAAUGGCUGUGAUCAGCCAGCCGAGGGCAGCCUUCCCUCAGGUGCGUCUGAGCCCAGCUGUCUCCUCCCAGCAGCCAGGUCCAGAGACCUCCAGGUGCGGUCUCAGAGCCUCAGCAGCUUUUCCUCUCCAUUCCCUCUGCAGGGGCCCUGUGGGCACCUCAGGAAGGAUCACAAGCACUGUCACCAAGGGCUAGGAUAUGUCACAGAACAGUCCAGAACACUGGAGGUGACAACUUAGGGUGAAACUCAAUGCAACACUGAUGCAGGCAUCAGAGGCCUCCACGGAGUCUGAGCCAACAGCCGCAGACCAGGAGCCAUGAGAAUGAGGCCCCUGUGCGGGACAGGAAGUGGCAAGUAUCCAUGUGUCCUGUGAAGAUACUCAGGAAUGCCUAAGGCCAACUCCGUGGUUGAGUGCCUCAUUCACACUCUUGUUGUUGUGGCUCUGGACUGACCGCAGGUAAGGCUUCACCAGGGGCAGCUGACCUGCCUGACAAGUUGAGGGAACCGUCAAGGCACUUGGCCAAGCUUGUUAUGGGGACACUAGGCAGGGGCACAGGUGGGCACGUGCGUGCCAUCCACUUGAAUGGUCCAGCUCUGGAGCCAAGGGCACCUUCUGGACACCUAGAACCAAAAGACCUACACUCACACAAAGAGGACUGUCUGGGCGAUUCAGUGGAUGCCAAUGUCACCACAGACAUUCACACCUUAGAGAGACACAUGGGUUUGGGUCCAGACCACCACAAUAAAGUGAACAUUGCAAUAAAGUGAGUCAUAUUAAUUCAUGUUUACACUAUGUUGUAGCCUAAGUGUGUAACAGCAUUAUGUCUACAAAAACACAGUACACACCUUAAUUAAAAAUAUUUUAGUGCUAAAGAAUGCUAACAAUCAUCUGAGCCUUCAGUGACUCGUAAUCUUUUUGCUGGGGAGGGUCUUGCCUCAAUGUUGAUGGCUGCUGAUUCAUACAAGUGGUGGCUGUUGAAGGCUGGAGAGGCUGUGGCAAUUUCUUUUUCUUUUUUUUUUUUUUUUGAGAUGGAGUCUUGCUCGUCGCCCACACUGGAGUGCAGUGCCGUGAUCUCGGCUCACUGCAUCCUCUGCCUCCCAGGUUCAAGCAAUCAAUUCUCCUGCCUCAGCCUCCUGAAUAGCUGGGACCAGGCGCUUGCCACCACGCCUGGCUAAUUUUUGUAUUUUUAGUAGAGACAGGGUUUCACCAUAUUGGUCAGGCUAAGUCUCGAACUCCUGAACUCAGGUGAUCUGCCCACCUCUGCCUGCCAAAGUGCUAGGAUUACAGGCAUGAGCCACUGCGCCCAGCCGGCAAUUUCUUUCCUUCUUUUUUUUGGGGCGGGAGACGGAGUGCAGUGGCGCGAUCUUGGCUCACUGCAAUCUCUGCCUCCUGGGUUCAAGCGAUUCUCCUGCCUCAGCCUCCUGAGUAUCUGGGAUUACAGGUGCGCGCCCACCACACCUGGCUAAUUUUUGUAUUUUUAGUAGAGACAGAGUUUCACCACGUUGGUCAGGCUGGUCUCGACCUCCUGACCUCAUGAUCCACACGCCUUGGCCUCCCAAAGUGCUGGGAUUACAGGCGUGAGCCACCGCGCUCGGCUGGCAAUUUCUUAAAAUAAGACAUCAAUGAGGUUUGCCUCACUGACUGACUCUUCCCUUUAUGUAAGACCACUCUGGACUUGUGUUGCAUAAAACAAAAUAAACUAAACAAACAAAAAGACUCUGUGCAGCAUGCAAUGCUCUUUGAUAGCACUGUACUCACAGUAGAACAUUUUUCAAAAUUGGUCUCAGUCCUCUCCAACCUUGCUGCCACUUUAUCAACCAGGUUUAUGCACUAUUCUAAAUCCCCUGUAGUCAUUUCAACAAUGUUCACAGCAUCUGCCCCAGCAGUAGAUUCUAUCUUAAGAAACCACUUUCUUUGCUCAUCCCUAAGAAGCAGCUCCUCAUCUGUUCAAGUUGGAUCCUAAGAUUGCAGCAAUUCAGCCCCUUCUUCA
rnacentral:lncRNA from 10 species